CCCGCAGCCUCGGCCAUACCCGGACGCCUCUCCUCAGCCCUGCCCCACGCACGUCACCAGUGACCGGAACUCGGUGUCUGGCCCCCUCAGGUUUGGGGGCAGCCUGAGGUCCCUCCUCAGGGGCUCCCCCUGCCCGGGGUCCGGGAGUCUCCGCGGUUUUAGCCUCCCACACCCGCCCGCAGGCCUCCGUUCUCAGCUCCUCAGCUGAGCGUCCACCGUCAUCUGAGCCCGCAUCUCGGGGCCCAGAGGGGAGGCUGUGGUUCCGACCCCAGAGCUUCUGCGAGAAAGAGGGCGUCCCCCCAGCUCAGGAGUCACCAGGGCGGGGGAGGGGACAGAGAGGCACGAGCACCUCUCCGCUAGGCCAUGACCUUGAGACUGUGACCUUGAGGCCAUGACCUUUGAGUCUGUGAUCUUUGAGUUGUGACCUUGAGGCUGUGGGGAAUUGGUGUCCUUCCCGGGGGGUGGGAGAAUGCCCAGGUCUGAGAACCCCAGAGUCCACACAUCGUCUGACCUCCCCAGCUCCUGGUUUGAUGGGGGUCCCCAUGAAACACCCCAAUACCCACCCCUGUGUAUCAGAGGCCCAACUCUGAGGGAGAUGGCCCUGCCCCUGACCCGGGGUCCCAAGGUCCUGGGGUCCCGGGGCUGCGGCGACAGUGGCCCCUCCGUCCACACACACCCAGUCCAGUGCCCCGCUGCCAUGCCGCUCGCCCUCACACGGAGGCCCACGGCUCCAGUCCUCCUCUGGGCACCCCUCCCCUCUGCACCCCGAGCUCAGGACCUUCCUGCCCACGCAGGGGUCUCGCCCUGCCUGCCCUCCCCUCCUCUCCCCGGGACCUUCUGUGUCCACGUCACCCCUCCCUUCCGGGCUCCCAGGUCAGAGCAGCAGGAGCAGGGAGGGGUGGCCGCGAUGCUCCCAGGGACAGAAAGAGGACUAGACGGACGGAGCUGGGCCUGGAGGGCUGCGGGCCUGAGCUGUACUCAAGCUGACCCCCCACUUGGUCAAUAAAAGCCAUCAGAAUGGA